AAAAAUAGGCGGUUUUAUCCCUAAAUUUCCCCCCUCUCGAACACCUAAUUUUUCCCCUAAAAUUGGUAUCCUCAAAACACCCCCCAAUCUCACCCCUAAAAUGUCCGUAGAAAGGUCAUUUGAAGCCUGGGAAGAGGUCCAACGCCAUGGCCAGGACCUUGCCGAUCGGCUAGCUCAAGGUUUUACUGGUUUAAUCCAAUCCCACAUGAUCCCACCUUCGUUUCCAUGGCCAAAUCCUCCAAAAUCCAAGCUUUUUGACCUCGAGUUCCCAUCUCAAUCCUUUGGUAACAAGGAUUUUGGUCUUCCCAUUGAUAAUUCUGCUAUUUUUGACAUCGGAGAUAUCGGGAACUGGAUUGGCCAAGUCGGGGCAGACUUUGGUGCUGGCUUAAACGAGUUGGUGCAACAAUUCUUCCGGAGGUUACCGAUCUCGUUUCGAGCUGAGGAGAGUGCAGUUGUGUCGGUUAGAGGUGAUAUGAGUGUGAAAGGGCAGAAGGCUGAGGUGGGUGUUAAUGAUAUGGAGGGUUUGGUAGGAUUUCGGAUUCAAAGGAUUUUGGGUUUGUGGGUAAUGAGAGUCAUUCAGAGGGAGUGGGAGAUGAGGAGAUUCCAGGGUUUAAUUUGAAUUCUGCUGGACUACUUGGGAGACCACAGAGGAAGUGUGAUUUGAAGCAUCCCCCUGGGGACGAAAUAUAUCGAAGUGGUACCCUGUCAAUGUUUGAGGUUGAUGGCAAAAAGAACAAGGUUUAUGGGCAGAAUCUUUGUUAUUUGGCGAAGUUGUUCCUUGACCACAAGACCCUUUAUUACGAUGUUGACUUAUUUCUAUUCUAUGUUUUGUGUGAAUGUGAUGAUCGAGGUUGCCACAUGGCUGGAUACUUUUCCAAGAAAACAUGGAGAGAAAAAAUGGAAGUGUGAGAAAUGCUCCAAGAUCUAUGCUGUUCAAUCAGAUUGGAAGGCUCAUUCUAAGACCUGUGGAACAAGAGAAUACAGAUGUGAUUGCGGAACCCUUUUCUCAAGGUGGGUUGGUGGGUAGGCUACUCAAAGGACUCUGACGAUCCAUUUGGCAGAUUAGUACGCAUAACACCUGGCGUAGGUAGAUUUGUUGCUAGGAGUUACAGUCCAAGACAGUUGGUCAGCGCGUCACCUAGAAUUCCAUUAUUUGAGAUUUUUGUGGUUAAAGAAGAUGAAGAAACAUAUCUUAUGCAGGUUGCAUGUUACAAAGGUCAGGGAAGAAUAGCAGAAUUUGGUUUCCGUAACCCGCGAUGGGUCGAUGGCGAACUUCUCCAACUUAAUGGCAAGGGCGUUGGACCCUAUGUCAAAGGAGCUGAUCUAGGUUUCCUUUACAUUGUGCCUGAGCAAAGUUUCCUUGUGCUACACAACCGUUUAAUAUAUAAAUAUAUUUGUAUAGAGUAUUUUAAUUUUUUACUAAUUUAAAUAAAUUUUUUAUUUUUAUAUUUGUAAAAGAAACUAGUUAUAAAAUAAAAAAUUAAAUUUAGUUUGGUUCAGAUGAUUAUAGUUUUCUAACUUACAACCAAACAGUGAAUCAAAUUGAAAUUAAUUUAUUUGAAUAAAUUAAAAUUAAAUUAAAAUAA